rnacentral:tRNA from 1 species
GGUUGUGGCUCAAUGGUAGAGCGCUUGCCUAGCAUGUGUGAGGCACUGGGUUCGAUCCCUGGCACCA